AAAUAUGUAGCAAAUUUUUUUAGUAACAUUAUUAUUUGGCAAUAUAUUUUUUUAAUUUUAUUUAUUUAAAAAAAAUAUUUUAAAAUUUAUGGUGCAGACGUGGCAAACUAGUAAAAACCUAUCCAAAUAACAAGCCCCACUACCGAUUUUACCUCCAUUAUCAAUCUUGCAUUUCCAAAAAUCCCUCCAAUUAAAAACCUAUCUAAUAAAUCCACUACCGCCAUUUUACCUCCAUUAUCAAUCCUUAUCUCCACAAUCUUAGUGUUGUAUAGAGAUUGCCAAUUUCUCUUCUGCGUUAAAUUCCUCACGGCCCUAUUCUAGGCCGUCAUAUUCCACAAAAUACGAACCCACUAAGGUUGUGCCGCAAGCUGCAGAGUUCCAACACGUUCAGAAAGUUAUUAGGUUUGGAGAACUCGAAUUUCAGUAUUUGCCAAUAUGUUGGAUUACUUUUCCUCGACGAAGAUUUGUAGAAAAUUAGAAUUGUUUAAUCAAUUGUGUACUGUUAUUAUGUAAAGCUUUUUGUAAUUGUGACACAAAUAAUGUGAACUUUGAUAUUAUUAAUAAAGUAAAUAUUUUUAUAUUA